rnacentral:rRNA from 1 species
CAGCCGCCACGGUAAUACGAAGGGUGCAAGCGUUACUCGGAAUUACUGGGCGUAAAGCGUGCGUAGGCGGUGAGUUAAGUCUGCUGUGAAAUCCCCGGGCCCAACCUGGGAAUGGCAGUGGAUACUGGCUCGCUAGAGUGUGUCAGAGGAUGGUGGAAUUCCCGGUGUAGCGGUGAAAUGCGUAGAGAUCGGGAGGAACAUCAGUGGCGAAGGCGGCCAUCUGGGACAACACUGACGCUGAGGCACGAAAGCGUGGGGAGCAAACAGGAUUAGAUACCCCCGUAGUCCCUGUCUCUUAUAC